rnacentral:ncRNA from 1 species
GGCGCAGCAGAGGAACCCGGUGCGAUUCCGGGACGGUCCCGCCACUGUGACCCAGGUCCGCCUGGGAAGUCAGGCCGUCUGCCGCGCC